UACGUAGGCAGCGAGCGUUGUUCGGAGUUACUGGGCGUAAAGGGUGCGUAGGUGGGUUGGUAAGUCAGUGGUGAAAUCUCCGUGCUUAACAUGGAAACUGCCAUUGAUACUACUGAUCUUGAAUUUUCUGGAGGUAAGCGGAAUAUGUCAUGUAGCGGUGAAAUGCUUAGAUAUGACAUAGAACACCAAUUGCGAAGGCAGCUUACUACAGCGAUAUUGACACUGAGGCACGAAAGCGUGGGGAUCAAACAGG
rnacentral:rRNA from 1 species